rnacentral:lncRNA from 1 species
CUCAACGUUGCUCUGAAGUCGGCAAAAUCCCUCUGAAGUUCAUCAAACUGCCUUUGAAGUUCCCACAAGGACUCGAUAUGAAUCUUCUUGUAUGAAUCUGGAUCAGCCAUAUUUGUAAGUGUAGUAGAAUGAACGAGUAAGGAGGGACCUAUUUAUAAAUGAUUGAAUUCGAAGGGGUUAGUAAAAAAGCCACGACUGUUCAUAUCCCUUAAUUACAUUAAACUGAUGACUUUUCGAAUAUGUAAAUUUAAAAAAUGAAUCUAAAUACAACAUUUUAUCUUUUAUUGUAUUUCAAAAUGAAAAGAAAAUAGCUUUAAAAUAAAUUAGGUAAUCUAUUGCAAAAUAUAUUCCAUCUGUUUGAUAACUUACAACAUAUUGACAAUCUGUUACAACAGAUGGAUAUAUCUGUUUGAUUUUUCCAACAGAUAUGUCAUAUGUUGCAACAGAUGAUCAUCUAUCGUAACAGAUGUCUACAAUUGUUUGACAAUUUAAACAGAUGUGGCAUCUGUUGUAACUUGUUAGUCAUCUAUUUAUUCAAUUUAAGCCAUAGAUGGGCUAGGAAGAAUAAGGUACAUGCAGAUGGAUCUAUCCACUAUCAUGUGUGGCAGUUAAGUAUUACUGAUAAGGUCAUUGGGACAACACACAUAAAGUAUAAUAUUUUUGUGAAUGCAGUUUUUAACCAAUUAGGUAUUGGUCAUUCAAACAAGAUCCUGCAUUGUACAGUUAAGUUUGAUGGGUUUGAAUUGAUAAGGCCGAGGGCCACAUGGAGAUGAUACUCUGUUAUGAAUUACUAACGGUUGUUGAUCAUAUUUAUACGUGUCAAGUUUUGAGAAGGGAUCAAUAUUUGGUGUCAUUGUAGAGAUUCAAUAGCGAUUGGACUUAACUUUAAGUAUGCAUUGGACUCUGAGAAGGCCUUCGAAGCCUCGCACUGCAUCAAACAAGAACGAAAAACCAAUAAAAAUUCCCCUGGCCAAAAUUUAUAUAGAAGGGUUGUUCGAGAAGAUGAUUAUACGAUAGAAGGAGCUGAAGGAGAAUGUCUACAAGGGAAAGGGAAGUUGAUGAAAGACUAUAUCAUCUGAAAGCUAAUUAAAGAAAAGACAUAGGGUAGCAAGGAACUUCUAGCAAAUCUGGCUGAUGAAAUUAUCUUAGCAAGGAACUUCUAGCGAAUCUGGCUGAUGAAAUUAUCUUAAAACAUGAAAAAUCUGAAUCAAGUGCAAAUAUGAAAUUGUAUCUGGAAAUAUAAAUUCGUCUGAUGUUUCUAUAAAAGAAAAAUAAUGCAAAUGGGUACUUUGCUAGGGAGCUGUGACUAGGUAGCGUGGUCGGGAUUAUCACCUAGAUAGAAAAUAGAAAAAGACCAAGAAAGCAGCCUUACAGUCACCGAGGGUUGAAAUGAUGUACAAUAAGUCUAGAAAACUUAUACCAAUAGCAGCUGUAGUUAAAAUAAAGAAUUUAAGUGAAGGCGGCAAUUUCUGAAUUUUAAAUUGCACCCCAUGUCUUCUUAUUUGUGGUUCUGAUUAGGUCCUCUGCUAUUGACCUGAUUGAAACCACAAACGGGAUUGAAAGAUAGAUUGACUGUCAUUAAUUCCUUAGCAAUAUGGAUUAAUUUAUUGUUUUUUCUUGCCUUAGUAUGCUUUCAACAUUUCUUAGAGAACACCAGAGGUUUGUUGCAGUAUGUGAAUCCCGAUAAUUUUCAACUUGCCUCCAGCUUGCCAAUUUGGUAUCCAAGCUUGUCGUUGUCAUCUUUGAAGUUGGUAUAGAGUUCCUGGUCUCUUGUGAGAUCGAUCAGGAACACUAUCUUCGAAGUUGUGGCAUUGUAUAAGGCCUUCGGAACACUUUCUUCAAAAGCCUUAAAGAAUACAUGGAGGGUCGCUAUGUUUGUUUUAGGUCAAAAUGUGUUGAUGCACAGUCAAGAUGUGGUCCCAAUAGUUAAAUAGCUCACUUUUAUUGAACGUUGCUUAAUGCAUCUUGCUCAACCAGCCUUCAAGGGAUUUGAUAAAUUAAUAAGCAAGCAGUUAUGUAACGUUUGAUCUAAACUGACUCUACCAAGCCUAUCAAACAUUAUGUAACUCCAGACGUAUUACCCUAUCAAAAAAUCUUUGCCCGAGUUAGUGCACAAAUCAAACGAGCUCAAUCUGUUAGAAUUUCUGCUGAUCAUUCUUCUCAUAUAUAGAUGACAAGAUAUCCGCCAUGCAAAAGUCACUGUCACCAGAAAUUCUUGCCAAGGCGCAAGUCUUCAGAAGGCAUUAAUAGUAUUCUCUCAAUAUCUAGUGAUAUUGAGAGAUUCCUAGUCAUGCCUUUUAAAGACUUUCACUAGGGCAAGAAUUUCUAUUGAUGACAAGAUAUCCGUUGUGCAAAAGUCUACACCGUUGCCAGAAAUUAUUGCCAGAGCGAAAGUCUUUAGAAGACGUUAUUAGUAAUCUCUCAACAUUAAGUCUAUUCACUUUGGCAAGAAUUUCUGGCGACGGUGUAGACUUUUGCAUGGCGGAUAUCUUGUCAUCAAUAGAAAUUCUUGUCAUAGAGGAAGUCUUUAGAAGGAAUGACUAGGAAUCUCUCAAUAUCACUUGAUAUUGAGAGAUUACUAUUGAUGCCUUCUGAAGACUUGUGCCCUGGCAAAAAUUUUUAGCGACGGUGUAGACUUUUUCAUGGUGGAUAUCUUGUCCUCUAAAUGAGAGAAGAAUGAUCAGCAGAAGCUCGAGAGAUUGAGCUCGUUUGAUUUGUGCACUAACUCAGGCAAAUUUUUUUAUAAGGUAAUGAGCCUGGAGUUAUGUAAAGUUUGAUAGGCUUGGUAGAGCCAGUUUAGAUCAAACGUUACGUAACUCCUUCCUUAUUAAUUUAUCAAAUCCCUUGAAGGUUGUUUGAGCAAUCUGCAUUGAGCACCACUCGAUAAAAGUGGUCUACUCAACUGUUGGGACCACAUCUUGACUGUGCAUCAACACAUUUUGACCUAAAAACAUACACGACGACCCUACAUGUAUCCUUUAAGGCUUCUGAAGAAAGUGUUCUGAAUGCCUUCUACAAUACCAUAACUUUAAAGAUAGUGUUCCUGAUCGAGCUCACAAGAGACCAGGAACUCUAUACCAACUUCAAAAAUGGCAACGACAAGCUUGGAUACCAAAUCGGCAAGCUUGAGGCAAGCUUGAAAAUUAUCGGGAUUCACAUACUACAGCAAGCCUCUGAUCUUCUCCAAAAAAUAUUGAAAGCACGCUAAUACAAGAAAACAAAAUCAAUUAAUCCAUAUUACUAUAGAAGUAAUGAUACUUAAUCUGUCUUUCAAUCUCGUUUGUGAUUUCGAUCAGGUCAACAGUAGUGGAUCUAAUCGGAACCACAAACAAGAAGGUAUGGGAUGCAAUUUAAAAUUUUUAAAAAUUUCUGCCUUUCCUUAGAUUCCCUAUUUUAACUGUAGUUGUUGUUGAUGAAAGUUUUCUAGACUUACUGUAUAUCAUUUCAACCCUCGAUGUCCGUAAAGCUGCUUUUUUUGGUCUUCUACUAUUUUCUAUCUAGGUGAUAAUCCCAACCACGCUACCUAGACGUAGCUCCCUAGAAAAGAGACCAUCUGCACUAUUUUUCUCUUAAAGAAACAACAGACGAAUUUUUCAUUACCGGAUACAAUUUCAUAUUUGCACUUGAUACAAAUUUCUCAUGUUCUAAGAUACUUUCAUUGGUCAGAUUCGGUAGAAGUUACUUUCUACCCUAUGUAUCCUCUUCAAUUAGCUCUCAUAUAAUAUAGUCUUUCAUCAACCAUCCAUUUUCCCUCGAAGACAUUCUCCUACCGCACCUUCUGGCGUAUAAUCAUCACCCAAGAAACCCAACCAUAUAAAUUUGGGCUAGGACAAUAACUAUAUUGAUUUUGUUCUUAGUUAAAGUAGUGAGAGGCUUAGAAGACCCUCUAAGGGUCUAAUACACCCUAAAAGUUAGUCCAAUCGCUAUUGAAUCUCUUUACAAUGCCACCAAAACUAGAUCCCUUCACAAUGCUUGACACAUAAACAUGAGCAACAACUAACAUUAAAUCUUAACAGGGUAUCAGAACCAUAUUCAUGGUCCCUCGGCCUUAUCAGUUUGGACUUACCAAACUUAAUUGUAAAAUUACAGAUAUUUUAUUUGAAUGAUCAAUGACUAAUCGAUAAAAAUAGCAUUCACAAAAUCAGUGUACUCUAUGUGUGUUUUCACGAUAAUGUUUUCAGUAAUACAUACCUCCCAAAUAUGAAGUGGUUUCAGCUGCAUGUAGUUUAUUCCUCUGUACCCGUCUUUAUUACAACCUCUUGUGUUGGUUGGGCAAGAGUUGAUCAACUUUCAUUUCCUUAUAUAUACAAAGAAGAGGAAAAAAAUCAAUGUCACAGAAAUAACAUUAUCCCUCUGUUGAAUCAGGUAUAGAGUCUGUUGCAAUAGAUGUAGAGUCUGUUGCAUCAGAUGUGGAGUCUGUUGCAACAGAUGUAGAAUCUGUUGCAACCGAUGUGGAGUCUGUUGCAACAGAUGUGGAGUCUAUUGAAAUACAUCAAACUAGCCUUUCUGGUGGUUUGAUUUGUUCCAACAAUUGCUCCAUCUAUUGUAACAUCAACAACAACAUAAACUACAAAGAAACAACAAAUAAAAAAUAUCAACAACAAAGAAACAACAUUAUUUGUUCCAACACCAUCGGCAACAUCAUCAACAACAAAGAAGCAAUAUCCUUUAUUCUAACACCAUCAACAACACCAUACCAUAAGUUCCAACAAUUCCAACCCCACCAAUAAUAUCAAUAAUAACAUCAACAACAAAGAAACAAAUAAAAUACAUACAAAAAAAUGAUACUGACAUCAAGGGUUUUAAACUUCUUCCAACAGAUAACUUUUUUUGCAUAUUGUAAUAAAAAUUCUCGGUUCAUUUAUUCAGCACUUAAAAGUUUCUUCAAACUUUUUAAAUAAAUAUGAUAUGGGUAAAUAGCAAUUAAAAAAGCAGAUGUAAAUAACUUUCAAAGAAGAAGACGAGAAUGAAAGAGCAAUUGUGAACCAUACCUUAAUGUCAAAAGGGGAUCAAAGCAAUUUCAGUCGAGGAAAUAUAUGGAUUGAUUUAGAUCCGAAAGGAUAUUUAUGAGAAAAAGAAAAGAAAAGAGAGAAAAAAGAUUGCGAUAACCCUAAAGAGGAGAGGAAAAAAGACAAUAAGAGAUAAAUAAAAUAAAUUUAGGUCUAAAGUUGAAGGAGAGAUAAGAUAAUUCUAGAUGUAUGUAGACGUGGAUUUCAAUAUUCAUUAAUUAAUAUUUAUUAAUAAUUUGAGGGGUAUGAGGAAGAUGGAUGACAUUGAAAAGACAUGAUAAGACUACUUAAUGAAUUCAUUUUUGAGUUAUCCAAGAAAUAUUUUUUACCGCCUUUAGUAGUACUACUUUAUCUACUCGGAUCUUGCUUUAAAAUUAAAAGAAAAAAAGAUUUUCAAAUAGAUAUGUCAUCUGUUGCAACAAAUAGCAAUAUUUGUUUGAAAAAUCCCAACAUCUCAGUCAUCUGUAACAAUAGAUACAAAUGUCCAUUUGAUAAUUAAAUCAGAUAUGUCAUCUGUUUAAACAGAUAUCAAUAUCUGUUUGAAAAUUUUUAACAGCCCGGUCAUCUGUCACAACAGAUACAAAUGUCUAUUUGAUAAUUAAAUUAGAUAUCUCAUUUAUUACAACAGAUAUGAAUAUCUGUUUGAAAAUUUCUAACAGCUUAGUCAUUUGUUACAACAGAUUUCAUUGCAAUUUAUUUAGGUGGAACUAGGGAUGAAUGAAUGAGUUCAUAGGGUCAACUACAACUUUAAUUGAGUCUUUUCAAUUGCAUAGUAUUGGUAUUGUGUUCAUUCCAACCCGAGUCGUCGAUCGAUCACUCUGAGUUGAAAAUAUUCUCAUUAACUUAAUGUUAAUCUAGUACCUUAAUUGAUUUAGGUUGAACUGUGGAUGAAUGAGUUCGUAGGGUCAACUACAACUUUAAUUGAGUCUUUACAAUUAGAUGAUGUUGGUAUUGCGUUCAUCCUGACCCGAGUCAUCGAUCGGUCACUUUGAGUUGAAAAGAUUAUUAUUAACUUAAUGUUAAUAUGGUACCUUAAUUGAUUUAGGUUGAACUACGGAUGAAUGAGUUCGUAGGGUCAACUACAACUUCAAUUGAGUCUUUACAAUUGUAUGAUGUUGGUAUUGCGUUCAUCCUGACCCGAGUCGUUGAUCAAUCACUCUGAGUUGAAAAGAUUUUCAUUAACUUAAUAUUUUAAAAACUAAAUAUUUUAAAAUUUUAAAAAAUAAUUAAAAUCAAUUCGGACCAAAUUAAUAAUUUUAAAACAUGUCAUUCUUUUCCAAAAUUACAAAUCAACCCAUACAAAUUAUCCAUUGGCAUGAAAAACUUUUCCUCAUUUCAAAUCUGAAGUUCUUGAUUUUCUCUCUCUCUCUCUUAACAUACAGAAAACAACUACUCAACAUAUUGUUCAACCCUUAAAAAAAUCAAUUUUCUUCCCAUUUCCAACCAUAUAGUUGUUAUUUUUGACUUUAUUCUCGUUUGUAUCUAUCAUUUUCUCUGUCUUUGUAGGCAAUAGAGUUCGAGAAGAGUUCUACAUUUAUUCUUUAUUCUAAAAAUUAGGGCUUUUUAGUAUAAAAAUGAAGACUUUUAUUUGUAUUAUCUUCGAGAAUGGGUUAUCAAGUUUGAGUUUUGAUGCUAAAAAAGUUGGAAGCACCCGAGAAAACUCUAAUUUUUGUAUCAGUGUUUUAUUGACUAUAGUGGUAUUGUUGGAUGGUGUUUGUGGUGUUGUUGGUGGUAUAGGUAUUUGUGGUUUUGGUGGUGGCGUCGGUGGUCUUGGUAUUGGUAUUGGUGGCAUUGGUGCUGGUCUUGGUGGCAUUGGUUGUGGCAUUGAUUGUGGUGUUGGAGGUGGUCUUGGUCGUCCAUCUGUUGCAACAGAUGGAAGAUCUGUUGGGAGAUAUUAAAUAGCUCUUCAAACAGAUUUCCCAUUUGUUUCAACUGAUGGGUUAUCCGUUGGAAUAUUUUUUUAUAAUGUGGCGUAGAAUAGUUUAUUAAAAUUUGUCUUACCUUUUUUAAAAAAUUAUGUAGACAUCAAAUGCAAUGUAUUUUUUAUUUUUCUAUUAUUUGUUGUUAAAAGAUGUCUCCCAAAAAUAAGAAUAUGAAAGUGGAUCAACUUCUGACCACCCAACAAAAAAGGCUAGAGUAUAGAUAGAAUCAGAGAAACUUCCUAAACAAUCUCAGUUAGGGCAAAAUAAAACUGAGGAAAGUGAUAACUUCUUCUCACCAAUGGGGCAUGAAUUUAUAUCAAAAGCCCAAAAUGAUCCUGUCAAAACCAUUAGUAUCGAUAGGUUUCGAGUUGUGAUGCCAAUGGAUAGCCCUAAAAAAGUAACUGAUGAUCUUGAACUUAAAUGUCAGUAGGGGAAACGUUUUGAUGAACUUAGGAUUAUUAUGAAGAGUGAAAACAUAGACGGACUUUUUAACAAGAGCUACUUUGCAUACUUUCUUAAGCUGCCUGAGGACCGCACUUUUUGUCUCCCAAUGAGUAUGGUUAUGGUCCUCUUAAGCGUAGGAUCAAGUACGCAGGGAUUAUAAAGAUUCAAAGGAGGAAGAAAAAAAGAUGGAUGAAAUCUGGAUCAACUAUUGUGGCAUGCCAGUUUGUUUUGGAUUGAAAGAGUUUGCAAAAGUGAUGGGCUUGAGAUGCGAUCAUCUAGAAGAACCUCUCAUCAAGGAAACACCCCACAAAGGUCCAACAAAUGCAAAGGAAAAAAUAUGAGUUGUUGGCAAUUGUUGGACGUAGCUACAAAGCAGAGGAUUUGAUGGCAGACCUUGAGGAUAAAAAUACACCAAAGUACUACAGGGAGAAAUUGUGCUUAGUUUGGUUUGUCCAUUCCAUUUUAUUGGCAAGAGACGCCAGGAAAGUCAUAGAAGAUGAUUUGUUGGCAUUUGCUGAUGAUUUUAAGAAAUUCAACGAUUAUCCCUGGGGAUAUGACAGCUACUACUUAACUAUCCAAUAUUUACUGACAAAGCUAUCUACAGGGACGAUCACAUUAUAUGGUUUUCCUUGGGAUUUCAUGAUAAAAUUGAUCACUAUUUUUAGUCAUCCAUUAAUUUAUGUUGAAUAUAGUUAUUAUGACUUUUUUUGCUUGCUUUCUAUUUACAUUUUUUAGGCUUGGAUAUGUGAAGUCAUUCCUCUCCUCCGAAAGCAGUUCAAGAAUUACCCUGAUGAGGUUUCUCAUCCAAGGAACCUUAGGUGGUUGGCUGUAAAGGCAGCAAAAAAAAUAUUAAGAAGGCUGGUCUCUUUAUCCCUUCGGAUAAUGUGGUACGUUUUUUUUCAACUAAAAUAAUUUUCCUUAAAAAAAGAUAUUAAAGCAGAUGUUCCAUCUAUUGUGAAAAAUAGGUCAUCUGUUGCAAUAUAUUACCCAUCAACUGUAACUGGUGCAACAAAUGGGGAAUCUGUUGCGACAGAGGAUCCAUAUUUCACAAUAGAUUAACCAUCUGUUGCUCUGGUUCUCUAAACCCAACUCAACUGAUUACCCAACUACUAUAAAUUAUGCAACAGAUGGGUAAUCUAAUGCAAUAUAUUAUCAAUCUGUUACAACGUACAGAUCAGCUGUUGCGACAGCUAGAUUGUCUGUUGCAUAAGUUGGCUGUGUUAACAUGUAACCCAACUGACUGCAAGUUAUUAUUAUAUGAUUUAAAUGCCUCAUGUCUUUUUUUAUAGGUUGUGCAUCCUUGGAUCAUGUCUAUGGAACAGGAGUUGGGGAUAAUUUUUUUUAUUACUCUAGGUAUUGUUGAUACAAAAGCAGACCUAACGAUGGAGUUAAUAAAGAAGGAAUUUUCUGGAUCAGCAUCCAUAAAAAGCACAGUUAGGCAAGGUUAGCCUAAUGUUGAAGCUCUUCAUGACCAACCUACUGCAAUAGAUCCAGGUGCUUCUUUUGGGGGUGUUGCUGGUAGAGUUGUUGAUGAUAGUGGUAGCCAUCCUGAUGUUGCUUUUGCUGCCAGUCGUGAUUAUGAGCAUAUUAGUGCUCAGGAAAAAAUAAAUAUGUUUGAAAACACCCUUUGCAUAGGUCUCUCCCACCCCUGCACCGGUCCCUUCUACCCUUACAGUGGUUGCUCUCACCCCUCUUCACCCUCAUGUUUUUAUUGCAAAUACAAAUUGGGCAAGGACAUAGAGGAUAAACUCCUUAAAAAACUAGAGGGUAUUCCUGAAACUGCCAAGGAGUUGAAAUCCAAGAGGGGUGUCAUACCAUCCAAGAAUAUGAAGGAGCCAUACAAUCCUAUAGUGGCAAUUAGGAGGAAGAAAAGAGCAAUUAGACAAGUACUCUCCAAUCGAAAACCCAAAAAAAUUACUACUCCUCUUACUCUAAGAGUUGUUGAAGUUCAGGGGCUGCUGAAGAAGGUGAACAUACACGCGGAACUUGGCGACAAAGAGAAGAAGGAACUGGAAAAAGUCAUGACUGACAAGACGAAACCUCCACAAGAAUACACCUUGCAUUUAUUUGAUGCCCAAGACUUCAUGAGUAUGACCAAUAUAUGUGAGUGGUACGUGGAUAAUGUAAGUUUACUUUUGCUAACCUAGACUUUCAAUCUACUCCAUGAAGAAGAAGCUACGCAAUAAAUAUGUAAUCGAUUGUAACAGUUGGGUAUUCUUUUGCAACAUAAUGCACAUCUGUUGUAUAAGUUGCGUUAGCUGAGUAAUCUGUGAACUGAUUCAGAGAACCCUCUGCAACAGAAUCUUUCCACUGUAUUUUUCUUAUUUAUAAUUACUAACCUAUUUAAAAAUUAUCUUCUUAUACCAUAGUAUGUUGAUAAAAUUCUCUAGCUCAUGAGGGGCAGACAAUUAGCGUACCCAGAUGCUUAUGAUGUUGCCGAUAGGAUAAUGGACCUCAACUUCUAUAAUAAUUUCAAGGAUAGGUACGAUGAUCUCCAUAGGCAAGCUUGACCUGGUACCUGGAGAUUUGAUAAGUAAGUUUCUAUGUUCGAAUGGGAUAAAGACAUGAUUAACUAUGUUAGAGGGAAGAUGCCAUAUCCACACGACAAGAGCUGGACCACGACAAAGAGAAUCCUUGUAGUCAUGAACGUGGAAGUCAAAUAUUUUCUUGUUGUUGAGAUACUACUCGACGAGAAAAAUAUUAAGGUUUAUGACUGCAACUUACCUGUCUUCAAAGAGGAAACGUUUUCAACCCACGUGCAGUCACUCUUUAAGUUAUUCCCUAAGUUGUUGACCCAGAGUAAACUGAUGGAUAAUUUGCCCGCGGAAGUCUUGAUGGAGGAAUCUCAGGAAGGUCGUCAAAUAAAUCCCCAAAGUUUGGAGGUCUAAAAUGAGACUAAGUGUUGAACACUUAUCAAACUUUUCUAAGUCUUGAGGCUUGUAAAGCCAAAUGAGCUGAAUUUCAGACUUUAGAUUUUAUGGGGUCUUACAAUAUCUCCCCAUUGGAAAUAUUUGUCCUCGAAUGAGAAUCAAAUGAGAGGGGAUAAAAGACAAGUUGAACAUGAACUAAACAUGAAUGACUGAGAGCUGACUUCAUGACUGACAUGCUAAAUAUACUGAACUCAUGCAUAUCUGAUGCACGGUAACUGAUACAUGAAUGCAUGACUGUGUGUUCUGAUAACAUGAGUUUAUCAAGAUGAGAAUGCAUAGCUAAUGCAUGAUUUUAUAAAUGAACUGGUACAUUAAUGCAUGACUGAGUAUGCAAUAGUAGUAGAUACCAAGUUUAUACUGGGAGCAUGAAUAUAAAACUGAAUGAGCUUAAGGAGAACUAUUACCUUAAGCUUGAUCUGAAUUGGCAGAGAAAAGGUGAGGAUACUUCGUAGGCAUAUCUAUUUCUGCUUCCUAAGUAGCUCCCUCAAUGGACUGAUUUAUCCAAAGAACUUUAACUAGAGGGACUUCUUUGUCCCUCAAUCGACGAGUCUGAGAGUCUAAGAUUUCAAUUGGAAUAUCUUCAUAAGAGAGACUAUUCAGAACGUUAAUGCUCUGAAUAGGAACUACAACGACUGGGUCACCCAUGUACUUCUUGAGGAAGGAGACAUGGAAAAUUGAAUGAACUGAGGCUAAAUCUGAAGGCAAUUUGAGCUCACGAGCUACCUUGCCAACGCGACUGAGAAUCCUAAAAGGACCGAUAUUUUGGGGACUAAGUUUCCUAUUCUUGCUGAAUCUCUUCACUCUCUUCAUGGGAGAGAUCUUGCGAUAGAUAUAGUCAUCAACCUCGAACUUGAUAUCCUUUCUAUAAACAUCAACAUAAGACUUCUGUCAACUCUUAGCAGCCUGAAGUCUCUCUCUGAUCAACUAAACUUUCUUUAAGGCAUCGAAUACCAACUCAGGACCUAUGACUGAGGCCUUACUAACUUCGAACCAAAUGAUUAGAGAUCUACAUCUUCUACCAUAGAGAGGUUCGAAUGGAGCCAUCUGAAUACUGGAAUGAUAGCUAUUGUUGUAUGCAAAUUCAAUCAAAGACAAGUGGUCAUCCCAACUUCCCUUGAAAUCAACUACACACGCUCUUAGAAUAUCUUCAAGAGUUUGAGUGGUCCUCUCUUCUUGACCGUCUGUCUGAGGAUGAAAGGCUGUACUAAGAUGAACUUGGGUACCAAGACCCUUUUGGAACUCUUUCCAAAGGUGGAAGGUGAAUUGGGUACCUCUGUCUGAGAUGAUAGAUAGUGGAACACCGUGUAAUCUGACCAACUCCCUGAUAUAGAGUUUGGCAUAAUCCUCGACUGAAUAAGAGGUACGAACUGGAAGAAAAUAAGAUGACUUGGUCAUUCUAUCUACAAUGACCCAAACUGAAUCAUGCUGGUGACGAGUUCGAGGCAAAUCCAUCAUGAAAUCUAUGUUUACUUCUUCCCACUUCUAAGUAGGAAUGCUAAACUCCUGCAUGGAACCACUAGGUUUUUUAUGCUCUAUCUUAACCUGCUGACAUGUAGAGCACUUAGCCAUAAACUCUGCAACAUCUCUCUUUAUCCCACUCCACCAAUAGAUCUCCCGCAGGUCGCGGUACAUCUUAGUGGCCCCUGGAUGAAUAGAGUAUUGUGCACCAUACGCUUCUGCAAAAAUUCACUGCCUCAAGUCAUCUAUGCCUGGAACACACAGACAACCUUGACAAAGAAGAACACCAUCUCCCCCUUGGGAGAAGACCUCUAUUUCCAAUUCUGAACUGACUCUUUUAGCUUGACAAGGCUAGGAUCCCUGUCUUGCUUUUCUUUUACCUUGAAAACUAAAGAUGACUCUAAACUACUCUAAACAAAUACACCACCCUCUGAAGAUUCGACUAAGCAAACGUCUAGUCUAGAAAGCUGAUGCAUUUCCUGAGCUAUCUUUUUAUUGCUAUCCUCAACAUGAGAAACACUACCCAUGAAGAGUCUACUGAGAGCGUCGGCCACAACGUUGGCCUUGAUCGGAUGGUAAAGGAUACUCAUGUCAUAAUAUUUCAAAAGGUCUAACCACCUUCUCUGAUGAAAAUUGAGAUCUUUUUGAGAAAAGACAUACUGGAGACUCUUAUGAUCUGUGAAGACAUCUACAUAAACUUCGUAUAGAUAAUGCCUCCAAAUUUUCAAACCAAAUACUACGGCUACUAACUCAAGAUCAUGAGUAGGAUAAUUCUUUUCAUGGAGCUUUAACUGUCUGGAGGUGUAGGCUAUGACCUUACCAUGCUGCAUGAGGACACAACCUAAACCCACUCUGGAUAAAUCACAAUAGACUACAAAACCGUCUGAACCAUCUGGAAGAGCUAGAACUGGAGCUGAGGUGAGUCGAGUCUUCAACUCCUGAAAACUCUUCUCGCAAGAAUCUAUCCACUGAAACUUGACCUUCUUCUGAUUCAAUCUGGACACAGGGGAUGCAAUAGAAGAAAAUCCCUUGACAAACCAUCUGUAAUAACCAACCAAACCUAAGUAAAUCUUGAUAUCUGAUGGAGAGACAGGGCGAGGCCAGUUUCUUACCGCUUCGGUCUUCUGAGGAUCUACUCUAAUGACAUCAUCGAAAAUAAUAUGUCCAAGAAAUGCUACUUACCUUAGCCAAAACUCGCACUUACUGAAUUUGGAAAAUAGCUGGUGAUCUCUGAGAGUUGAAGAACAAUUUUGAGAUGGUCUGAAUGAUCACGCUUAGUGCGGGAAUAGACUAGAAUAUCAUCUAUGAAGACUAUGAUGAACAUGUCCAAGUACUGCUUGAACACCCAAUUCAUCAAGUCUAUGAAAGUUGCAGGGUCAUUGGUAAGACCAAAGGACAUGACUAGAAAUUUGAAGUGACCAUAUCGAGUACGGAAAGUUGUCUUCGGGAUGUCACAUUCUCUAACUCAAAGUUGAUGAUAACCUGAUCUGAGGUCUAUCUUAAAGAAAUAACUGGCACCCUGAAGUUGGUCAAACAAGUUACCUAUUAUGGGAAGAGGAUACAUGUUCUUGACCAUAACUUUGUUGAGCUGACGGUAAUCGAUACACAUCCUGAGAGAACCAUCUUUCUUGCACACAAAUAAAACUGGUGCACCCUAUGGGGAUACACUGGGUCUGAUGAAUCCCUUCUGUUGGUUCCAUUCUGUAUGGCAGAAUAGAUAUAGGCUGAGUACCUGGAAUAAGGUCUAUGCCAAAGUCAAUUUUCCUUUCGGGAGGAAGGCCUGGAAGAUCUUUGGGAAAGACAUCUGAAUAUUCGUUAACCACUAAAACUGAUUCAAAGCUAGGAGAUUCGGAACCAGAGUCUUUAACAUGAACGAGAUGAUAAACACAUCCCUUAGAAAUCAUUUUCCUUGCCUGAAGGUAGAAAAUAAGUUGACCCUUGAAAGAUGAAAUACUACCCUUCCACUCUAGGAUGGGCUCAUUUGGGAAUUGAAACUGAACUAUCCUAUUUUUUCAUUCGAUUGUGGCAUAGAAGAAAUGAAGUCAAUCCAUGCUGAGAAUGAUAUCAAAAUCAGUCAUCUUUAACUUGACUAAAUCUGUUGACGUGGCUUUCUGAAAUAUCAUAACUAGGUAGUACCUGUAUACUCGCCGAGCUAUGAUAGUUUUACCCACUGGGAUAGAUACUAAAAAGGGCUCUACUAAAAUUUUAGGACUGAUUCCAAAAUCUCCUGCUAUGUAGGGAGUAACUAAAGACAAGGAUGCACUUGGAUCUAGCAAAGCAUAAACAUGAAUAUGGAAAAUUUGUAAUGUACCAGUAACGAUAUUAGGAGAAUUUUCCUGAUUCUAUUGAGUCUGAAGAGCAUAAAGUUUGUUUGGGAAUUGUCCACUAGUAGCACUGGAAGUGGCACCCGGCUGGUUUGGGUAACCGGACUGAGCUGUGGAAUGAUUAUACUGACCUUGUGGACCUGACUGCGGACACUCUUUAAUCCUGGGUCCUGUUUUGCCACAACCAAAAUAGACAUCACUACCGGAUUGCAAAUACCCUUGUGGUUUUUGCCACAGGUAUAGCAAAGGGGAUUUGUGCGGGCACUCUAACACUGCCCUGGGUAUAAGAGCUUAGGGCUCUAUCUCUAAACUUAGGAGCUGGAGCACUAGUUGAAGAAUGAACUGGAUAUGAUGACUUAGGAAAAAACUGCGAACGGUUUUCUCCCUCUGAUUUGGGUUGAGCAAAACUGAAACUGCCUGAUCUUGCUCUCUUGUUCUGUCUCUCCCCUAUCCUAAUCUUCUGCUUCUCUAUUUGUUAAGCAUGGGUCAUGAGCCAAGCUAAAUUCAUAUUACUAUUCAGCAUUGCAGACCUACAUUUAUUUACCACACUAUCAUUCAUCCCUGACACGAACUUUCUCAUCUUAGCCCUGCUGUCUGCAACCACAUGAGGGGCAAAUCUGGCUAGCUGAGUAAAUCUAAGAGAAUAUUCCUUAACUGUCAUAUUUCCCUACCUGAGGUUGAUGAACUCAAUAACUUUGGCCUCCCUCAGCUCUUGGGGAAAGAAUCUGUCUAAGAAAGUCGUGACAAAUUCCUCCCACUCUAUAGGACCUGCAUCCUCUACCCUCUCAAACUUUCACUGUUUGUACCAAGUAUGAGACACUUCUUGCAACUGGUAUAUGGCUAACUCGUCACUCUCAAAAGAAGUAACUCUCAUGAUGUCUAUGACUUUCUGGACUUGGUCAAUGAAUUUCUGAGGGUCUUCAUCAGGCUUAGACCCGAAGAAAGAUGGAGGGUUCAUUCGGGUGAAGUCUCGAAUCCUAGCUGCGGCUGAGUUGACCACUGGAUUGGUCAGAAUAAUUGGUGGUCGUUCAUUUUGGGAAGCCACAGACUGAGCAAGUGUGGUGAAUGCAGCCUUAAACUCUGCAUGAGAAACAUGUUCACCCAAAGAAUCUUUGGGCUGAGGAGCUGGCUUGUUUCUUCUCUUCGGAGGCAUAUUCUGAAAUAAGAGAAGAACGGAUUAGACUGAGAGUUUAACUUGAGAUUAUGCUCACUAGCAUGAUAUGAAUGCUGAAAUAAAGGAAACUGUUCCUAAAACAUCUUAUAGCCUCCUGCACAUAAAUGUGGCGCACAACACACCUAUGCACAAGUCUCAACUAGAUGCGGCUUUUAGACUUCCUAGGACUCUAUUGAACCUUAGGCUCUGAUACCAAGUUUGUAACACCCUGAUUUUAUGAUUCAGAAUGCCUUACAGUGCUCAUGAUCCCGAAAGACCACAAGCUAACCCAAGACUGAUAUCUAUACCUGUACACUGCAAUAUAUGACAUAAUAAUGUGGAAAACAUGAACACUAGGCCAUAAGGUUCAACUAAAUAAAAUAUCUGACUAAACAUAACAUCCAUAUGUGUGACAAAUACCUAAAACAACUGAAGUCUGAAUCAAAUCUAAACUAAAUCUGAAAGCCUCUAAAUAUUGUCUGAAUAAGAAGUUGAAGGAACAUGUCUACAACUAACUCCGUCUAGCAAAACUGAACUGAAAUAAUGAAUGAAAUAAAAUAAUAUCGUCCUCAAAUGGAUGAGGACUCACUACAACUCUGCGAUUGGAAUGCUACUGCUACUACUGAUCUGGAGCUCGUGUAUGUGAACCUAUGGUGUAACAUGAAAAAGAAUCGCCAUAGCACAAAUGCAUCAGUACGUGGGAAUAUAAUGAUUAUAUGAGUGAGGUAGGCUAAAUACGAAAGGUUUACAUACGUGAACAAAGCUAAUUGACUAACUGAUAUGAACGUAAGAGUGCAAAUAUGCAUACAUAGUAACUGGAAUCAUGAAUACAUGAUAUUUAGAUUUGUACUCUAAUACAUGGCUUACUGAUGACUAACAUGACUGAUACUGUAAUUCUGAUAUCAUGGAUGACUGUGUCUGACAGUCCUGAAUCUAAUGGAACUAUCAGUGUUCCAUUAUGUAACUGAAUUGACUAUAUCUGAUAGUCCUGAUACACUGAAAUCUAAAGAACUAUCUGUGUUCUUUUACUAGGUAGCCAUCUGACUGACAUAUCCCAAUAACGCAUAUAGCUAGGUUGGGGUCCAAUCUCUGCCCGACUAGAGGAGUGACAAUACCGCACCACUAGUAAGGACAGCUGUGAGUGACCCUUAUCUGGCAGGUACUCAAAAUGAGAAUGGUGGGAACAAUAAGCUGACAGGUUAAGCCACCUCAUCAAACCUAAUCUGACAGAUUAACAUGUCUCAACCUACGCUGGCUACGUAGUUCUGGAAUGCAAGGAUGAAUACUAAGAAUCACACCCUAAUCUGACAGGUGUGUUCCUAUCUUUGGAUUCGCUCAGUGCUAAUUACUACUCUCAUCUGAAGAGACUGAACAUGAUUUGACUGACUGUACGUGGACUGAGCUUACUGAAUUCUACUGAUUGGUAGAAUAUUUUUGAUAUCUAUUAACUGACUGAGAUCAUGAGGUUUCCUGAGUCACAUAACUGACUGAUUUCUACAGAAUCAUAGAUUGAUUUUGGGUUUCAUUAAGCAUAACAUAGCUCUAGGCAUACAACUAUAUUUUUCGGGUACAAGUACCCCCAGGACUCGAUGGAAGGAAACUAACACACAUGACUGACUUGAUCAUAAGAGUAAAGUCCAAAAUUUACAAUAGCAUAAGUAGGAGAUUUCACACUAAGCUUAGUUAUCAACAUCUUAUAUGGAAGGGAAAAGUAUACAAUAUGUAUAUACUUGCAUAGCUUUAUUAUCAUGCUCAAACCAUAUAACAACAACAACAACGCAUAUCAAUCACGUGGAAAUUUAUGUGGAAUUAUAAAGCAUAGAGCAUGGGCUUGUCAUCUAAGAACUAUUAGAUCAUGGAACAUGAAUUUUAUCAUCCUAGGCAUUUUAUCAAACACUUUGCAUGCAUUCUUUUGACUUAGGUUUCAUGAAUUUCACCAUAUUAAACCACCUAAAGUUCAUGGGUUUCAACUAACAACCGCAUAUUCUUCAUGAAAACACCUUUAGAUAUCAUCUUGAAACUUAAACAACAAUCAUCAACAUGUACAUGGUCAUAUCACAACAAGACAAAUCACAUAAAUAAUAUUUAAAACAUGGUUCUUGAGCUCUAUGAACGAAAUAGAUCCAUAGAUGAACACUAUGCAUUCCUGAGAUUAAGAAUCCAUGGAAUUUACAGUGAAAUCGGCUUGAAUCUUGAAACCCCCAUUUGAACCCUAGACUUGUUCUUGGUUGUUCUUAAGAGAAUUUCAGCAAAAGGAGUAUGUUUUGGUGAAACAUGGCAUUAAUCCCGUGUUUUGAGUAUAUAUAGUAAUAGGGAAAAGGACCAUUUUGUCCUUAAGUUCAUGACCUGGAAGCUGGAAAAUUUUGGGAGCGUGCGAUGGAGCGUGUGUCGCAUGCUCCAUCCCUCCACAGAAUAGCAUGCAUUGCAUGCUCUAUAGCAUGCUAGGACCAUUCGAUAUCCCAUGCUAAUCGCAUGAUGCUACUGUUUAGAAAUCCAAAAAGGCUCUAAAUGGAUUCCAAAAAUUCCAAAACUCACCCGGAAUGUACUACGACCUUAUCCCAUCGCGACACAACUUGAAAAUCCAAAAACAAAGGUCGGAAAGGUUGUCAAAUAAAUCCCCAAAGUUUGGAGGUCUAAAAUGAGACUAAGUGUUGAACACUUAUCAAAAUUUUCUAAGUCUUGAGGCUUGUAAAGCCAAAUGAGCUGAAUUUCGGACUUAGGAUUUUACGGGGUCUUACAUUAGGUAACUCAAUUUCUUGAUACAACCCACCGGUCCUUAUGUCCUCAACUUUGACUUGUUGUCAUACCAUGCACUUGGAUACAAAAUCAACCACAUCCUGCUUCAUACAAUUCCACUAAUAUAUCUCCUUAAGAUCAUGAUACAUUUUUGUCGAACCGGAAUAAAAAACAUAGCAGAUUCAUAUGGCUCAACCAAAACCCUCUAUCACAAACCAUUGACACAGGAACACACAACCUCUCUUGGUAUCGUAAAGUACUAUCGCUGCUGAUCUCAAAGACCAUUACCUUUUGCCCACCAAUAUCACUCUUGAUUUUUAUCAAAUUUGGAUUUAGCACUUACUUCGCCUUGAUUUUUGCACCAAGAGAUGAUCUAACCUCUUCCUAAACCAUUACCCUACCAUCCUUGUAGUUCAAGAGACGAACUCUAAGAUUGGCCAAGUGGUGAAUAUCCUUCACCAAUUCCCACUUUCCUUUCUCCACAUGAGCCAAACUCCCCACAGACAACUUGCUAAGAGCAUCAAAAAUCAUGUUAGCUUUACCUGGGUGGUAGUAAAGACUCAUAUUAUAGUCCUUGAGAAGCUCCAACUAUCUACUUUUCCUGAGAUUUAGAUCCCUUUGAGUGAACACAUAUCGUAGACUCUUAUGAUCAGAAAAUUAUGCCUCCAAAUUUUCAAAGCUAAAACCACUACCAACAGUUCCAAAUCAUGAGUAGGAUAAUUUCCCACAUGCACAUUCAACUGCCUGGAAGCAUAGGCAAUGACCUUCCCAUGUUCUAUCAAAACACAGCCAAGUCCCACCUGGGACGCAUCACAAUAAACCACAAACCUCUCCAUACCUUCUGGCAAGGUCAAAACCAGAGUCAAAGUUAUCUUAUCCUUAAGCUUCUCAAAACUCCCUUCACAUGCUUUUGACUAAGAAAACUUUAGCUUCUUCUGAGUUAACUUAGUCAAAGGAGCAACUAUCAUUGAAAAGCUUUACACAAACCGCCUAUAAUACCUGACUAAAUCUAAGAAGAUCCAAAUAUUUAUUGGAGUCGUGGGUCUAGGCUACCUUUUAAGCACAAACACCUUUUAAAGAUCCACCAUGAUCCCCUCACUAGAAAUAAUAUGACCAAGAAAAGUCACAUCAUUCAACCAGAACUCAUACUUGGAGAAUUUGGCAUACAACUGCUGCUCUUUCAAGGUCUAAAACACCAUACAGAGGUGAUUGGAAUGAUCCACCUCACUUUUAGAAUAAACAAAGAUGUCUUCAAUAAAUACAAUGACAAAAAUAUCCAAGAACUUCUUGAAAACCCUGUUUAUCAAAUCCAUAAAUGUCGUCGAGGCAUUAGUCAAGCCAAAUAACAUAACUAAGAAUUCAAAGUGCCCAUACCGAGUACGAAAAGUUGUAUUAGGGAUAUCCUCCUCCCUAAUCUUAAGCUAAAUAUACCCAGACCGAAGAUCUAUCUUAGGAAAAACUUGAAACCUUGCAACUGAUCAAACAAGUCAUCUAUCCUUGGAAGAGAAUACUUGUUCUUGACUGUUACCUUAUUCAACUAUCAAUAGUCAAUGCAUAUCCGAGGGGAACCAUUCUUUUUUUUCACAAAAAAUAUGGGUGCACCCCAUGGGUAUACACUAGGAUGAAUAAACCCCUUAUCCAGAAGGUCUUUAAGUUGCUCCUUGAGUUUCCUCAACUCAGUCGGAGAUAUUCUAUAAGGAGGAAUAAAUAUUAGGCGAGUGUCCAAAAUAAAAUCAAUACCAAACUCAAUAUCUCUAUCCAGAGGAACACCAGGAAGAUCAUCCAGAAAAACCUCAAGAAACUCACCACCAGAAUCAAGUGAAAAAGAAGGACUCUUCGAAUUAGAAUCUUUAACCUAGACCAAGUGAUAAAGACACGAUUUAGAUAUUAAUCUUCGAGCACUAAGAUAAGAAAUAAAAUUUCUCCUAGGAGCUAGGGAACCACCCUUCCACUCUAUAAUCGGUUCACCAGGGAACCUAAAGACAACCUUACGAGUUCGACAAUCUAAGGACAUGUAACAAUAGUGUAACCAAUCAAUCCCCAGAAUAACGUUAAAAUCCACCAUAUCUAGCUCAAACAGAUCUACCAAGGUCUACUUGCUACUAAAAGAUACCACACACACCCUAUAGACUCUUUUAGCAAUGACCGAGUCACCUACUAGGUAGAAAUAGAAAAAGGAUCUAAAACAACCUCAGGAUAAAAAAAAAAACAUAUAGCCAGAUAUAGGGCCACAUAGGAAAAAGUGGACCCUGAAUAAAACAGAUAAUACACGUCACGAGAAAAGAGUUAUAACGUACCAGUAAUGACAUCUAGUGAUGCCUCAAAUUCCUGUUGAGAUGCAAGAACAGAAACUAUUUUGGACAAUGCCAGCACCAAAAAUAGGAGCAGACAUCAAAGAAGCACCACUAGGUGCAGGAGAAAAAGAUGAUGCAAUCGGAGAUUUAAACUUUGAAUUUUUUCUUAAUUUUAUUUUGAGCUGUAAAAAUGGCGGAACCAAAAUUUACAAUGGAUGUCGGAAAUGACGGUGUUGCAAUCAUCAAAUUCUCUAAUCCUCCUGUGAAUGCUCUUAUACAAAAUCAACCACAUCCUGCUUCAUACAAUUCCACUAAUAUAUCUCCUUAAGAUCAUGAUACAUUUUUGUCGAACCGGAAUAAAAAACAUAGCAGAUUCAUAUGGCUCAACCAAAACCCUCUAUCACAAACCAUUGACACAGGAACACACAACCUCUCUUGGUAUCGUAAAGUACUAUCGCUGCUGAUCUCAAAGACCAUUACCUUUUGCCCACCAAUAUCACUCUUGAUUUUUAUCAAAUUUGGAUUUAGCACUUACUUCGCCUUGAUUUUUGCACCAAGAGAUGAUCUAACCUCUUCCUAAACCAUUACCCUACCAUCCUUGUAGUUCAAGAGACGAACUCUAAGAUUGGCCAAGUGGUGAAUAUCCUUCACCAAUUCCCACUUUCCUUUCUCCACAUGAGCCAAACUCCCCACAGACAACUUGCUAAGAGCAUCAAAAAUCAUGUUAGCUUUACCUGGGUGGUAGUAAAGACUCAUAUUAUAGUCCUUGAGAAGCUCCAACUAUCUACUUUUCCUGAGAUUUAGAUCCCUUUGAGUGAACACAUAUCGUAGACUCUUAUGAUCAGAAAAUUAUGCCUCCAAAUUUUCAAAGCUAAAACCACUACCAACAGUUCCAAAUCAUGAGUAGGAUAAUUUCCCACAUGCACAUUCAACUGCCUGGAAGCAUAGGCAAUGACCUUCCCAUGUUCUAUCAAAACACAGCCAAGUCCCACCUGGGACGCAUCACAAUAAACCACAAACCUCUCCAUACCUUCUGGCAAGGUCAAAACCAGAGUCAAAGUUAUCUUAUCCUUAAGCUUCUCAAAACUCCCUUCACAUGCUUUUGACUAAGAAAACUUUAGCUUCUUCUGAGUUAACUUAGUCAAAGGAGCAACUAUCAUUGAAAAGCUUUACACAAACCGCCUAUAAUACCUGACUAAAUCUAAGAAGAUCCAAAUAUUUAUUGGAGUCGUGGGUCUAGGCUACCUUUUAAGCACAAACACCUUUUAAAGAUCCACCAUGAUCCCCUCACUAGAAAUAAUAUGACCAAGAAAAGUCACAUCAUUCAACCAGAACUCAUACUUGGAGAAUUUGGCAUACAACUGCUGCUCUUUCAAGGUCUAAAACACCAUACAGAGGUGAUUGGAAUGAUCCACCUCACUUUUAGAAUAAACAAAGAUGUCUUCAAUAAAUACAAUGACAAAAAUAUCCAAGAACUUCUUGAAAACCCUGUUUAUCAAAUCCAUAAAUGUCGUCGAGGCAUUAGUCAAGCCAAAUAACAUAACUAAGAAUUCAAAGUGCCCAUACCGAGUACGAAAAGUUGUAUUAGGGAUAUCCUCCUCCCUAAUCUUAAGCUAAAUAUACCCAGACCGAAGAUCUAUCUUAGGAAAAACUUGAAACCUUGCAACUGAUCAAACAAGUCAUCUAUCCUUGGAAGAGAAUACUUGUUCUUGACUGUUACCUUAUUCAACUAUCAAUAGUCAAUGCAUAUCCGAGGGGAACCAUUCUUUUUUUUCACAAAAAAUAUGGGUGCACCCCAUGGGUAUACACUAGGAUGAAUAAACCCCUUAUCCAGAAGGUCUUUAAGUUGCUCCUUGAGUUUCCUCAACUCAGUCGGAGAUAUUCUAUAAGGAGGAAUAAAUAUUAGGCGAGUGUCCAAAAUAAAAUCAAUACCAAACUCAAUAUCUCUAUCCAGAGGAACACCAGGAAGAUCAUCCAGAAAAACCUCAAGAAACUCACCACCAGAAUCAAGUGAAAAAGAAGGACUCUUCGAAUUAGAAUCUUUAACCUAGACCAAGUGAUAAAGACACGAUUUAGAUAUUAAUCUUCGAGCACUAAGAUAAGAAAUAAAAUUUCUCCUAGGAGCUAGGGAACCACCCUUCCACUCUAUAAUCGGUUCACCAGGGAACCUAAAGACAACCUUACGAGUUCGACAAUCUAAGGACAUGUAACAAUAGUGUAACCAAUCAAUCCCCAGAAUAACGUUAAAAUCCACCAUAUCUAGCUCAAACAGAUCUACCAAGGUCUACUUGCUACUAAAAGAUACCACACACACCCUAUAGACUCUUUUAGCAAUGACCGAGUCACCUACUAGGUAGAAAUAGAAAAAGGAUCUAAAACAACCUCAGGAUAAAAAAAAAAACAUAUAGCCAGAUAUAGGGCCACAUAGGAAAAAGUGGACCCUGAAUAAAACAGAUAAUACACGUCACGAGAAAAGAGUUAUAACGUACCAGUAAUGACAUCUAGUGAUGCCUCAAAUUCCUGUUGAGAUGCAAGAACAGAAACUAUUUUGGACAAUGCCAGCACCAAAAAUAGGAGCAGACAUCAAAGAAGCACCACUAGGUGCAGGAGAAAAAGAUGAUGCAAUCGGAGAUUUAAACUUUGAAUUUUUUCUUAAUUUUAUUUUGAGCUGUAAAAAUGGCGGAACCAAAAUUUACAAUGGAUGUCGGAAAUGACGGUGUUGCAAUCAUCAAAUUCUCUAAUCCUCCUGUGAAUGCUCUUUCUAUUCAAAUUUUUGCCGGAUUAAAGGAGAAAUGGAAUGAGGCAGCCAAGAGAAAUGAUGUCAAAGCAAUUGUUUUGACUGGAAGUGGUGGGAAAUUUUCUGGUGGUUUUGACAUCAAUGUUUUUGAGAAGGUUCAUAAAACAAAUGAUGUUACUCUAUUGCAUGACAUUUCUAUUGAUCUCAUGACGAAUGUUAUGGAAGAUGGAAAGAAGCCUGCAGUGGCUGCCGUGGAAGGACUUUGUCUUGGAGGUGGCUUCAAAUUGGCAUUGGCAUGCCAUGCACACAUUGCUGCGCCAAGAACACAACUUAGGUUGCCAGAUCUUAGACUUGGAGUUCUUCCUGGAUAUGUAGGUACAAAACAUCCUCCAAGGCUUAUAGGAUUAUCAAAGUCCGUCGAAAUGAUGAUGACAUCCAAACCAAUAAUGUCAGAAGAAGGGGAAAAUCUUGGCAUUAUUGAUGUUGUUGUUCUUUCCACAGAGUUGUUAAAAGUAGCUAGACAAUGGGCACUUGAUAUUAUAGAAAGUCGCAAACCUUGGGUGCGUUCCCUCCACAGGACUGAAAAAUUGGUUUCAUUUCAGAAGCACAUGAAGUUCUGAAGUUGGCUAGGCAACCAGUGAAGCAAAUAGCUCAGAAUAUGCCUCAGCACCUAGCAUGCCUUGAUGUAAUUAAAGAAGGCAUAGUCCAUGGUGGAUAUAAAGGGAUUAUCAAGGAAGCUAAAGUAUUUCAGGACCUUAUACUAUCAGAUACAUCAAGAGGUCUUAUUCACGUAUUUUUUGCCCAACGAGCUACAUCAAAGGUACUGAAUAUAACUGAUAUCGGUCUAAAACCAAGGCCGAUAAAGAAAGUUACCAUUAUAGGUGGAGGGUUAAUGGGUUUAGGCAUAACUACCUCUCUUGUUCUGAGCAACAUAUUUGUUAUUAUGAAGGAAAUUAAUCAUGAGUAUCUUCAGAAGGGGCUUAAAAUAGUUAAAGAAAAUAUCUGAGGUUUGGUAGCGAGAAA